rnacentral:rRNA from 1 species
AGCGAACGCUGGCGGCGUGCCUAACACGUGCAAGUCGAACGUGAACGGAGCAAUCCUAGUAAAGUGGCGUACGGGUGAGUAACACGUAGGUAAUCUACCUUACAGUCUGGAAUAACCUGACGAAAGUCGGGCUAAUACUGGAUAGAGCGACGGAAGCCGUAACGGUUUUUUCGGGAAAGGGAGCUCGAUAAGAGCCUUCGCUGUAAGAUGAGCCUGCGUCUGAUUAGUUAGUUGGUGGGGUAAUGGCCUACCAAGACGAUGAUCAGUAGCUGGUCUGAGAGGAUGAUCAGCCACACUGGAACUGAAACACGGUCCAGACUCCUACGGGAGGCAGCAGUGGGGAAUCUUGCGCAAUGGACGAAAGUCUGACGCAGCCACGCCGCGUGAGUGAAGAAGGCCUUCGGGUUGUAAAGCUCUGUCACCUGGGACGAAAACACUUACGGUUAAUAGCCGUAGGAAUUGACGGUACCAGGGGAGGAAGCACCGGCUAACUUCGUGCCAGCAGCCGCGGUAA